AAGUUGAAGGAUAAAACAAACUCAAUUCAUUUUGCCUAAAUAGAGAUAUCCUUCUCUUCUCCUUUUUACAAAUUUAUUCAACUUUCAGAUUUUAACGAUGAUUGUGAACGACAAAUCUGAAAUUUCUUUUCAAUAAUACCAAACAAAAAUUUUAUGUAGUAUUCCAAACAUUCAAUCAAAUUGUCCAAGCAUGGAGCAUUACAAAAUAUU
rnacentral:lncRNA from 1 species